UGACAAAUCACUAUGUCCUACCAGCAGU
rnacentral:piRNA from 1 species